CAGACACACGGACAUAUACUCUCAUGCAAGAUCAACCUAGUCACCAGUUCACACACCUUAGCACACACACCCCCCCACCCCCAAGAUCAGCGAGUCACAGAAAUCCAACUCGGUCACUCAAUUACACGCAUUAUUGAAUAUGACCCCCACACAUUCAAUCAUGCACAAGUUCAACCGUGUCAGUCAACCAUUCUGUAUUCAAUCUGCCCACCCUUCCUAGCACACACCCAUAUACGCCCCAAGUCACACCAUGUCACACAGUCAUGCAUAUACUUUAAUCCAGUCAUUCUGUUUAUCCCCAAUCCCCCUGGUCAGUCUGUCGUAUUUCAAAAUUUCUACCAAGUCACCUUCUCUCACAAAUAAUAUACAACAUAUGAACACAGAAUUAUACAUAAGGAUAUUGUUCACUAAAAACAGAUAUUAUUAUAUUAUGGUAGUUUGGAUAAGCACAAACUACUAAUCUGCUUAAUCACAUUCUCGCACCGGUAAUGUACAACAUAUGAACAUAGAAUUAUACCUAAGGAUAUUGUUCACUAAAAAAAGAUAUUAUUAUAUUAUGAUAGUUUGGAUAAGCACAAACUAAUAAUCGUCUUAAUCACAUUCUUUCACCGAUAAUGUACAACAUAUGAACAUAGAAUUAUACCUAAGGAUAUUGUUCACUAAAAACAGAUAUUUUUAAAAUAUGGUAGUUUGGAUAUGCACAAACGCCUUUUCCUGUACACAGUGUGCAAACAUUUAGAUAACUGGUACUGAAUGUUGUCAUUUUUAAGAAGCCACAGAAACUUUUCAAAAUUUGAAAAUUCAGUGAAAUUUGUUUCUUGUAUUUUAGCUGUGUUAAAUAUAGAUAGUCUGAUAUCUUUAUAGAAGUUGCAUUCUACAACAAAAUGAAAUUCAUCCUCUGUGGCUUGCUUGUCACAGAGAGUACAUAGUCUUUCUGAAAGAGGAGUGAUGGGCUUGGUAUAUCUUCCACAUUCUAUAUUAAUUGGCAGGUUACCACAACGCAAUGAUGCUAAUACACUUCUAUAUUGCCUUGGUAGAGACAUUUUAACAUAAUGGCAUGUUUCAAUGUCUUGUUGAAAUAAUCUAUAAGUUCUUAACUUGCUUCCAUUUGAAUUAUUUUUAUCAUUAAAUGGAUCUGAAUACCACUUCUCUCUGUCUUUCUUAUCCAGCUCCUGCAAUGCUUGAUCAAGGAACACUGGCCGGCUUGUGUUAUUACAGUAAUCAUAUACAGUCUGGACUCUAUUGGUGAUAGCAAGCUUUUUAACCAUGACCAUAACCCUGUAGUCCCAUGAUGAUUUCCGCCUUACUGACCACCUGUGAAUAAUACCUAUUAUUGAAUCUGGUUCGGCUGUGACAGCUCUAUGAAAAACAUCUAAACACUUCAACUUGAAUCUAAGUCUGUUGAAUGUAAGUCAGGCAUGAAGUUGCACGGAAGAACCAACGUGAGACUUUAUAAUCACAUGGUUGUUCAUAUAUGUUAUUUAAUGCGUGAUAGGUAUUACCGCUUAAAAGGUGGUUUUGUAUUUAUAAUAAAAACUGAUCGUUUACAUUUAAUAUAGAAUAUAAAAAUAGUUUGGGUAGCAACAUAACUGUUGCAUAGGGUAUGUUGUUUAAUGAUAAUACUAUAUGAACAUUCCUCGAGCCAGCUGACUUACACUAUGGAUAGUGUACAAGACAACAGUUAUAGAACAUCACGUGAUAAGGUUGAUGGAAAUGGCAAAAUAUUUAUUUACAAUAUAUGUGUUUCCAGGGGAAGAGCCUGUUACAAAGUCUGUGUCUAAAAAAAAGUAAACUCGCUCCUUGUCAGACAAAACUGAAUGUAAUUAAGUUAACUACCUAUGUACAUUAUCAGUGGAGUACUUGAAUUAAUAUUAAAUUGUAACCCGAGAUGCUGGUGACACACCUUAUUACGUGACCACCCAUUGAGGCGUGAACACCCAAGGGGGCGUGAUAUACACCCUUGUGUUUGAUUUGAUAUACCAAUCAGCCGUGGACGCCCGACCAUAAAAAUGGUAUAUAUAGAUUUAACCCUAAUCAGGUAUUGUUAAAUAUCGUUAAAUCGUCGAGAACGUUCUGUCAGACGAUCAAACGAUAACUAUUCAACAAGUCGGUAAAUCACAUCGAAAACCCAAGUUCUGGUCGCAGUGAGAAGCUCUGGAUGCCUUGAGGAGGGUUCACCAGCUCUGCUUCAACAACGUUGACAUGGAUCUUACCAACGUCAUCAACAGUCAAGGCAGACAUCUUUCUUCAAGAAAUCUGCCCAAAAGGAAAAACACUGAAAUUGGUAAGUAAUGUUUAUGUGCAAUGUCGUUAACUAUAGUUCAUUUAUUGCAUCGGCACUCCUUCAAGAUUGGGGACAUCCGGACACCCACCACCAAGCUAUCAGACUUCAAGCCCUUCAUGCCUGCCCCAAGGGAAGCGACAACCCUCCCAACUAAAGUUCAAGAGGCAAUAGAGAAGAACAAUGAAAAACUGCAAAAACAAUCAAAGAUCACUCUGACAAAGCACCGAAGACAAGCGUCAGUAUCAGAACAAUAAAGAAG